rnacentral:rRNA from 1 species
AUUGAACGCUGGCGGCAUGCUUUACACAUGCAAGUCGAACGGUAACAGGCCUUCGGGUGCUGACGAGUGGCGAACGGGUGAGUAAUGCAUCGGAACGUACCCAGAGGUGGGGGAUAACGCAGCGAAAGCUGUGCUAAUACUGCAUGUGAUCUGAGGAUGAAAGCGGGGGACCGAGCAGCAAUGUUUGGCCUCGCGCCUUUGGAGCGGCCGAUGUCGGAUUAGCUAGUUGGUGGGGUAAAGGCCUACCAAGGCGACGAUCCGUAGCUGGUCUGAGAGGACGACCAGCCACACUGGGACUGAGACACGGCCCAGACUCCUACGGGAGGCAGCAGUGGGGAAUUUUGGACAAUGGGCGCAAGCCUGAUCCAGCAAGGCCGCGUGCGGGAAGAAGGCCUUCGGGUUGUAAACCGCUUUUGGCAGGAACGAAACGGUGUCCGCUAAUACCGGGCGCUAAUGACGGUACCUGCAGAAUAAGCACCGGCUAACUACGUG